AUUAUCAAAAGUCAAGUCGGGGGCUGUAAAGCUCUCGUCUACACCCAUGUCUUUUGCGUACUCUUGUUUCCUCGGUGGCGCAAGCUGCCGAUUGGACAAACCAAAACCUUUUUUGUAAUUGCAAUCAGCGUCUGAAAAUAAUCUAAUUAUUUACAACUUUCAACAACGGAUCUCUUGGUUCUGGCAUCGAUGAAGAACGCAGCGAAAUGCGAUAAGUAGUGUGAAUUGCAGAAUUCAGUGAAUCAUCGAAUCUUUGAACGCACAUUGCGCCCCUUGGUAUUCCAUGGGGCAUGCCUGUUCGAGCGUCAUUUGUACCCUCAAGCUUUGCUUGGUGUUGGGCGUCUUGUCGUAUUACGACUCGCCUUAAAUUCAUUGGCAGCCGGCACUUUGGCCUAGGAGCGCAGCACAUUUUGCGAUCGUAGCCCGUUGUACUGGCGUCCAUCAAGAACAUUUACCACGUUUGACCUCGGAUCAGGUAGGGAUACCCG
rnacentral:rRNA from 1 species